GCCUAUGGCCAUACCAGUCUGAAGGUGCUUGAUCUGCUGCGUCAGAUCUCAGAAUCAUGCAGACUUGGGCCUGCUUAGUACUUGUAAUGGAAGAACAACUAGGAACCUCAGGUGCGUAAGCU